GGCUGGUCAGAAGGUAGUGAGUUAUCUCGAUUGUUCAUAGUCAGUUACAGAUUGAACUCCUCAUUCUCUUCUUUCCCCUCUUCUCACUACUGCACUUGACCAGUCUUAA
ensembl:misc_RNA Y_RNA Y RNA